GGCGCUGUGGCUUAGUUGGUCAAAGCGCCUUUUUAGUAAACAGGAGAUCCUGGGUUUGAAUCCCAACAGUGCCU
rfam:Danio rerio chromosome 4, GRCz11 reference primary assembly.